rnacentral:lncRNA from 1 species
CGUGGGCCUCGUGGCUCCAUUUAGGCCCAGGCCCAGGGCCAGGCCCCCAGCUCUUGGUUUGGGCUGUGUUGUGGUAGCUCUUCUGGUGUUCUCACUCUUCUUUCUGAAUGUAGCUGAGACAUGUGCUAAAGAGCCAUGAUAUUAACAGUUGGGAGUCAGCAGAAAUACUGGACUUCUCAGCCUUAAAUCGUGUAUAGCAGGAAGAAAUCCCAAGAGGGGCAGUUUUCCUUCAUUUGGCUUCAUUUGGUGCUGAGCAGACCUGACAACACUGCUGCGGUGCUAACAGCUAAGGGAACGGGUGUUGGUGCUUGGGAGAUGUAUUUGUGUGCUCUCACCUCCCUGCCUGUUUUGAAGCAAAAUACGCUUGGAGGAUGAGAAGAUGGCUUGCUGGCUGUUCUUCAUCUUGCAUUUGCUUACAGUUCAUUCACGAUUAGCAACUUAUCUACUGUACUCUUACAGCUUCUAGCUUUUUUCCUGCCAAAUUUUGAUCAUUAAGUCUUGUAGUAUUGACUGUCUUGGAUUUUGCUUCACUUAUGUUCAACAUUUAAAGGUUAUUUUUAAUGUAUGUAAACAAAUAUACACUGUAUACAAAUGACCAGGAACUGUGAUUAUCAUUUCUUCCCACCUUUUCCUCCAACAUUUCUCUAGUUUCUGCUCUAACAGCAGGAACCAAAAAUGUGCAAAAUAAAAAGAUAUAUUUCUAAUUUAUAGGAGUUCUU